UCGCCUAAAUCGCAUCAACACAUUACUUUCUCUUUCAUUUCCCCUCAAAAUCACAAAUGCAAAUUAUUUUCAUUUUCAUUUUCAUUUUCUUUCCUCCGUCGAAAUCACAAACGUAGAUUAAAGCCUUUUAUUUUUAUUUUCCUUUCUUUUUCUUUUUCAAAUCAAAUCUGUUUCCCCUAUUUCGUUUAUAUUAGACAUUUUUUUCUAGAAGAUCCCUAGUCGGUGAAGAAGGCUGAUGAAGAAAAUGGCUAUGACUUCUUCAUCUUGCUCAAAUAUCCAGUCUGGGCUGAAUCUUGGAGGGUAGAAAGGAUAGUGGAACUCAUUCAGUUGAAAAUCACUCUCAUAACAGAAUUUGAAAAUUUGCUUUGAAUUUGAGUGAUUUUGGGAUUAGCUUUCGAAAAUGUUCUCCAUAAUUGGCAGUGGCUGGGAGCUCUACACUGUUUUCGGUGAGUUCUAGGAAGUACGCAUAUACUUAUACAAUACAUAACCUUGAAAGUUAAGGUGGUUGCAAUUUCCUCUUAUUACAGGGAUUUUUUAAAUGAGAAACAAGAUUCAUAUCAAAAUGUUCUACUAAUGAGAUGAUUUCAAAAAUAGAAAAAGUUGCAAUGCCCUUGGGUUUUGAUGUGAAGAAAACAACUACAAGAUGAAGCUUCUAAGGGAAAGAACUAGACGCAAAAGUCAUUUAGUUGUUACAAUAAAGAUUUUUCAGGUGGCUCAUUCAUUUUGCAUGGUUGAACUUCAAAAGUCUGGAAGAGACACCCUGGAAUUUCACAAGGUUUAACUAAUAGCAAGAUUGCAUCAUUACCACUUAAACAAAAUUUGAAGCUUUCUCCUUCUGAUGGUAUGCCACUUCUAGACCCAUCUUUGUAUCAAACUUUGGUAGGUAGUCACGUAUACUUGACAAUUACUCGUUCAGAUAUUGCUAUGCUGUUCAUCUAGUUAGUCAAUUUUUGUCUGCUCAUCGAUCUACUCAUUUUGCUGCUAUCCUCCAAAUCCUACAAUAUGUCAAGGGUACUAUGUUUCAUGGUUUAUAUUUUUCCUUUAGUUCCUCUUUGGAUUUGAAUUGUUAUUGUGACACUGAUUGGGCAAGAGAUCUUACUGAUUGUCGUUCUACCACAGGCUACUAUUUCUUUUUUGGUUCUUCUUAUUUCUUGGUGAAGUAAAAAACAAUUUGUGGUGUCCCGUUUUAGCACUGAAAUUGAGUAUUGAGCUCUUGCAGAUGCCACCUCAAAACUUUUAUGGUUAUGAUGGCAACUUCAAGAUAUGAGUGUUUCUUAUCACUCUAGUACUCUUAUAUUUUGUAACAAUCAAAGUGCCAUUUAGAUAGCUCACAAUAAUAUUUUUCAUGAGUGUACUAAACAUAUUGAAAUUGACUGUCACUUCAUUCAUCACCAUUUGUUUGCUCAAACUUUUUGACUUAUUCCUGUUACUAGUAUUGAUCAAAAAGUAGAUAUCUUCACCAACUCACAUGCACAUGGUCAAUUUCUUGUUCAAGUUUUCAAACUCAAGUUGGCUUUUACAUUACCGUCUUAAGUUUCCGGGGUGGGGGGUUGUCAAUGAUAGUCUAGUAAUGUUUUGGUAAUAUUCUAGAUUGAUUUGAUAUUAAUUUAGAGAAUAUUAGAUAUUGAUUUGAUAUUGAUUAGGUGAUUAUAGAAAUUGAUUUAGUCAUUAUUUCUAUUUAUUGUAUUUUUAUUUUAUAACAGUUUACCUCUGUAUAAAUAAGCUUUAAGCCUCAUUGUAAAACAUAAGUCAUUAUAAUAAAGUUUUCAUCAUUUUCUCCUUUCUCAAUGUUCAAAGUAAUUUCUUCCCUUAGAGAGACUGACCCACGUAACCGUUCUUUGAUCCUAUCUUGUUCAAAGCUUGUUGUUGGGGGUCCUGGUUUACCCCCAAAUAGGCCAAAAGAGAAGUUGAGGAAGUUUGUGGUGAAAACUUAGGAGUUCCUUGCUGCCUUCUUUCCCUUCUCAACCAUCUGUCCAUGCAAAUUCACAUCCGUUAGCUAGCAUUGAGUCCUCUGAACUCUACUAUCUGAAAAUGACGGUUGUUUCAUGGGGUGGACAUGGUGUCUUGUUACUUCUUCAUGAACUUUUGUUUGUGUUUGCUGAAGGUUUUGUGAAGAUGGGUAUGGUCCCUUUCAGCAUAUAUUUGAGACCAUGGGAGAUUACGUCCCCAAGUAAAGUCCUAUCAAUCCGCAUGUUAUCUUGCAUGGGGCUCGAAACAUCACUUUUAGGUGCGUCAUCAACUCCCUACCCAUGCCAACAAUUAUCUUAACUUUCAUAGUUAUAUUCAAAAUAUUGCUUCUAUCCUUAUUCGUUGUUUCCUCAACACCACUUUCCUUUUGAAUUAUGAAAAUCCAUUUUUUUUUUGAACUUCGGUUCUUUGUUUAGCAUUGACCAUCGGUAGCUUGCCCUUUUGUUUUUUCAUUCAGACUGUCAGCAAUUGAUUUUGACUUCUUUAAAAUAAGGCUGCCCCUUGUGAAGAUACUAAAGCGACAUUUUUCUUUUAUGAAGAGUAAUUACGUUUUUUUUGGGGGGCUAGUAUCCUUAAACAUGAAGAUGAGGACUGUCUCCUGUAGGUUAGCUUUAAGUGUAGUUGUUGACAAGUUUUAUUCCUAGCCUUUAUCAUCUGUACCAGCAUCCACGGUCCUAUAGUCGUUACCAUCUCUUUUUUUCUUCCUGUAGAUUUGCUGGUUGCUUGGUUUGUGUGGCCUCAAACCUUCCUUCCUGGGAUUGGACUGUGUGGGAUAUUGGUUUAUCAAGACAAAACUCUUUCGUAUGUCCUAUCUUUCCACAGUGGAAACACAAUAACCAAUUCCUUCAUAAAUAAUGGAUUGUUUCCUUCCCUCCACGUUUACAAAGCUCUUCAAUGGUUUGUCCAAGUUAACUUGGACACAUAAUUGAGCGAAUUUCCCUCUCUUCUAAAAAAAAGGUGUGGUUAUCAACCUUGAGAAGUCCCCUUAUACGCAUACCAACUUUUUGUUAAGAUCUCAAUAUCAUAAUAUUCGAGGUAACUCUAGUAGUCUUGCCCAAACCCUCAUAGAUGAGAAGGAUGCUUUAGA